rnacentral:rRNA from 1 species
GCGGAGGAAAAGAAAAUAACAAUGAUUUCCCUAGUAACGGCGAGUGAAGAGGAAAGAGCUCAAAGUUGGAACCUGUUUGGCCUAGCUAAACCGGAUUGUAAACUGUAGAAGUGUUUUCCAGACACGCCUGGUAAAAAAGUCCUUUGGAACAGGGCAUCAUAGAGGGUGAGAAUCCCGUCUUUGGCCAGAGCUGUUGUCUUUUGUGAUACAUUUUCAAAGAGUCAGGUUGUUUGGGAAUGCAGCCUAAAUUGGGUGGUAAAUCUCACCUAAAGCUAAAUAUUUGCGAGAGACCGAUAGCGAACAAGUACCGUGAGGGAAAGAUGAAAAGAACUUUGAAAAGAGAGUUAAACAGUAUGUGAAAUUGUUAAAAGGGAACCGUUUGGAGCCAGACUGGCUUGAUCGUAAUCAAUCUAAGCUUCGGCUUGGAUGCACUUGCGGUCUUUGCCUGCCAAUGACAGUUUUUUUCGGGGGAAAAAACUAGGAGAAAUGUAGCCUCUCGGGGUGUUAUAGUCUCUUAGAAAAUACCCUGAAUUGGACUGAGGAACGCAGUGAAUGCUCUUCGGGGCAAGAUUGCUGAAUGCUUUCGUUGAAGGAUGUUAGAAUUUCUGCCUUGGGUGGUGCUAAUGUUGUUUGAGGCGAAACUCGCUCGGUAUAUUUUUAUUCGCUUAGGUUGUUGGCUUAAUGACUCUAAUGAC